AGCAGCGUAGAGCAGCUGGUUAGCUCGAGUGUUUCAUAGGCACUAGGUCACAGGUUCGAGUCCUGUCGCUGCAA
rnacentral:tRNA from 1 species